CUCGCUUUAUGACAAAUCCACUACAAGGCAUAGUCGCACAACGUUCACUCAUCCAAAAUUUACGGAGCUUCGUACCGACAAACCAAUUUGGAAUUUAAUAUUCGACGACUGCUAAAAUGAUCUCCACGUUUGUUCGUGGAGACCAAUGGAAACGCGGCAAGGAUUGAAGACGCGGAUCCGUUAACGGAAAAGGGAGGGGCAGGGAGAACGAGCGGGUGUUUGUCGGAUACAAUGGGGGCCUAUCGCGAGAGAUGACGGCGGAUGGAAAUCGGGACGGUGGCCGUUGAGAUAUACCGUAAGGAGAUCGCAGGAUCAUAGCGGCGAUCCUACACGCCUAGAUUCGAUCGCGGCGGUCAGCGGCUCUACGCGCUGCAAAUAAUUACAGCCGUCCUUACAUUCCAUAGCAAGGCGGGCAAACUGGUUCCGAGCGCGGCCACUUGCGCUAGAAUACGGAGAGAAACCCAUGGAGAGGAAACCAUAUUUCUUUAAAGUAUUAUACGUACGUUUUUUAGCCUCAUGCGCUAUCCUGCGUGGCGCAACUAUACGACAAUGAUCGCGAUUUGUAUUUGCACCAUACCGGAGCCUUAAUAAUAAUUAUGCACGUGGACGUAUGCUAUUCACGAAGGAUGUAUACCUUGUCGUUAGUAUAUAUUUUUCAGCAAUAAACUUCAACGUUACUCUUCCUUUAAAGAAUGACAUGAAAAAAAUUAAUUUGGCAUUUUCGGUCAUCGACCAAAUAUUGAUUCGCGAGUUGUAAACAUUACCGUUCACCAAUCACUGCUCAGAUAAUUUUUUCUUUUGAUUAUAGGAUUCAGGGAAAUGGUUUUUUAACUUUUAAACGUUUUAGAGUAAUUACAUUGAAUUAAAAGAUUAGUUAGCCCUGUAUUUAUUAUUUAUUAAUAAUCGCCAAUGUCUAAAGAAGCUUUCAAAAGUAGAUACGAAGUCGAAGUACAAUUGAAGUAAACUCAAAUUGAAAUUGGUUAAAGAAUGAGACGCGUCAAACUUAAUUCACGAUAUUAAUCAUCUUUUCGAUAUUAAGCUCUCUCGUGGCGAGCUUCGUCAGGAGAACGUCGACCCCACGAUAAAUCCGUUUCGCGGGGAUCCGCAAGGAGAAUACUUUGGAUUAAAAAAAAAACGUCCCGCUUAAAAUUCAGUGAGAUUCGAACGAGAUUGCGGAAUCGCGAAUCGCUGCACGGCGCUUAAACGCCACGCGCGCGCGAUAUUCCCGGUAUUUACACUUGGUCGCGGAAAGAUUUCGCAAACAACAGAAACAUACGUCGUCUCCGCGCGGGUGAGGGCCGCGGUGCGGUGGCGGUCGUAGGCGCAUUAAUAAUGUAAGUGUGCAGAUGGUGUGCAGUGAGUGCGCGGCGCCGCUGACUAGGAUCAAUGUUCCGUUCGCGGUCUAUAUAGUCAGCACACGGCCGCGCGCCGCGAUAUAUAGGUAACAACAAAGAGAGAGAGAGAGAGAGAGAGAAGAGAGAAAGCCGAGGCUGUGUGUGGGAAACAACACGGUUGCACCCCGCUCGCUCGCUCUCCCGCUCCCUCUACCUCUCCCACACGCUCGGAUAAUGCAUUUGCGCGAAUAUUUUAACCAAUCGUAGCGCGAAAUUACCAUAUGGAAAUAAGUUCCCUUUCUCUGUCUCUCUUUCUCUCGAUCGAUCCGAAUUUCGCCGCAACUUGGUUCGCGGGGAAAAAACGACUCCUCCAACUUGCGCCACCAAAGGAAAGAAAAAGAUUCCCCUUCCUCGUAUUCGAGAAAACACGUGCUCCUCGCGUAAGCUCGCGCUGCUUAUGGAAUUGUACUUAUAUAAUUUCGGCAUGCAGUUCUCGAGAAAAGCCCAUCUCGAGAAUUCUAUAAUUCGAAACGGAAGAGUCUAAUCUCAUGUGUCGAGUUGUAAAUACAUCAUGAACAGAAGGGGGAAAAAGUAUUACGUAUAGUGUUACGUAUAAUCUCAUAUUUACUACGUAUGUAUAUCAGCGAAUACGCAAUUAGGCCGUUUUGUCACUAUUAUUUCGUUUUCAAGCGUGUCAUCAUUUUCUAAUUAAUAAUAAAUAUUUAAUGUUAUCCCAUCAUUAAUGAGAAAUUCUCGAUUAGUGCCGUGGCAAGCAAUAUUAACGUCUGAAAUUGUACAUUAUAAAUUUAUCAAUCUACCAUAUGUAUCUUGCGCGCAUACUCUGCUUAUAGGAUCCACUUUAUGGAAUAGAUAUAAAUAUUUUUA